rnacentral:rRNA from 1 species
CCUACGGGAGGCUGCAGUGGGGAAUAUUGGGCAAUGGGCGCAAGCCUGACCCAGCAAAGCCGCGUGAAGGAAGACGGCUCUCGGGUUGUUAACCUCCUUUUAGAGGGAAGAGCAGAAGACGGUACCUCUUGAAUAAGCCAUGGCUAACUACGUACCAGCAGCCGCGGUAAUACGUAGGUGGCAAGUGUUGUCCGGAUGUACUGGGUGUAAAGGGUGUGUAGGCGGGCUGACAAGUCAGAUGUGAAAUCCCGUGGCUCAAGCACGGAACUGCAUUUGAAACUGUCGGUCUUGAGUAUCGGAGAGGCAGGCGGAAUUCCUGGUGUAGCGGUGAAAUGCGUAGAUAUUAGGAAGAACACCGGUGGCGAAGGCAGCCUGCUGGACGACAACUGACGGUGAGGCGCGAAAGCGUGGGGAGCAAACAGGAUUAGAUACCCCUGUAGUC